CUUGAGCCAAACUCCAUCAAAACCAACUGUACUGUCUGUGGGCAUAAAAAGAAAACAGUUGCUGAGCUGGAAAAAGAAAUAAUUGUCCUCCAAUUGCAGCUGGGGCCAGAAACCAGGGGUUGAGUGCCCUUUCCCCAGAACUGCCAGGCAAAGGCAGAAAGAUUAAAAGUCCAGGAAGAACGUGUCGUAAUUGACAAACGAAAAAAGCAGUGAUAGAAGUUCAGCUGCUCUUUUACUGUGGUGGAGUCCCCCAAAUACAGUAUGUAACAUUAUUUUGUAUAAUACACAUUUAUCUUGUAUACACUUCAUUUACAUUAUAUGUUGAUGUACUUAAACUACAUUUUACAGAGCGGAAGCUGACUGAUUAUUUGGAAUUUCUUGUGGGGGAAAUCCACCCGCCAAAAAAAGGAAAAGGGGGUAAUUGCAAUUGACCAGAUUCACAGGUUUCUCAUUUUUACUGGGGAAGGGAAUCUGCUAAAGGGUAACUAUGCCUUCUUGAAGAAACAUGCGUCAAUCAGAGUAAGAAGUCUUUGUUGUGACAUGGACUUUUCGAGCCAUAUUAUUCACUGAUGCUUUCUUACACCUCAGUGAUCGUGCUCUGGCUAGUAAGAUCUUUUACAGCAAUGCUGAAGAAAAAAUCAUGCAAUUUCACAAUAUAUUUCGAUUUUGGACUCCACGUUAUGUAGCUGUGGGAAUGGGACGCCAAAUAGGAGCAAUGACAAACAUGCCUGUUCCUGUUGACCUCUGCCUCCUCCAUCUCAUUGACUGUGUUGACUGAAGUUGAAAAACAUAAAUCAGCAGGCACUUAUGAUCUUGCCCAAAUCUGCCUGACAUAUGAGGAACAUGGGUGGAUGACCACAUUCCUGGACAUCAAGAAGAAAAAAACUACACCACUGGGGUCAAUAGCAAAUGAAUGAAUGAAUGAAUAUGCCCAGGUGAAUGUGGAUUUCUGCAAAUCUUCUGAAAUCACAAGACUGAGCUCUGCACAUAUCACGUUACAUCGGGUCGACAAACAACAAGCGUUUUACUGGUUCUUACCAUAAGACUCCUCCUCUGACAAAGAAAUUCAAGGCAUGUGUGAAGACACUGAUAUAAAAAGCCUUACAUUUUGAAUAUUUGAGAAGUCUUUGGUUGUCUGUGAAUAUAUUUGUUUUGAUGUAAACAGAUUUUCUGAUUGCUGCAUUUGUUGUUCAUAUCUUUUUUUUUGAAAAUUGACAUUUAAAGAUCCAUUCACUCUUAUUUUCGUAUGUAAAAAGUAGAAACUGCUUUA